UAUUAUAUGAGAUAGAUAUUAUAUAUAUACACGGUAUAUAGUCAAUACAAUGUUAAAUAAAAAUCUGCACACCAGUCAAGCCAUAAUACUUGCUUUUCCCACAGGAAUCAAAGCAAGUCUCAUGCCUUGACUGGUGUGCAGAUUUUUGUUUAACAUUGUAUUAACUAUGCACAGACUUUAGGUGGAAAGGGGUUUUCAAUCACAAUUUUUCCCCACCAUAACUUUUUUGUUUUGGUGCCCAUGUAUUUAUAAUGUGAGCAUAACUUACUUUUUAUUGGUUUUAUUUCAGUUUUUUGUUAAGGUCCCAAUCCACAAACCCAGCUAACAGAAACUUAAGUGGAGUAACUUAAUUUCCACUUAUGCAACUUUCAUGUACUGACUGAUACUUGGAAGAUACUGUAACACAUUUAUUCUCCCAUUUGUCUCCAUAAUAUCAUUAUUAUUUACUAUAACAAUUACCUGUAGUUCACCACUGUAAUUUUCUGUACAUGCUGUUUCUAAAUUGUUAUUUACAGUGAAUGUAUUUCACCAAUAUUUCAUGUACAUGAAGUUAUUAAUAUGGUGGGAGAUAGAGUUUGGUUGGUAAACUUUGCAUUCAACAAAUGUUUGCUUUACCCAGCCACUCUAUCUAGGAAGGCUGUGUAAGUCUCAAUUAAAGGCACUACAUUUUCCAAUAACUAGAAGGUACUAUAGAUAUAGAUAAUUAAAAACUGGGUUAUAGAUAUAGAGGUAUUCUUUCUAAUGUGUGGCAUAAUCAUCUCUCUGCUGAUUUACAACAUGAGGGAAUUAUUUUCAAUCCAUGGUGAUCAUUUUUACAUCAUGGGAAUUCAAAAUGUCAUGCAGAAGGAACUCCUUUGAGGCACCCACCCUGAAAUGUACACACUGCUCACCUUGAAAUUAUGAAAACAUACUUUUAAAAAAGUAUAUAAAAUAU